UAUGUGAGGGUAGUGCCUGCAGGUGGAGAGUGCUAUGACACUGGACCCUUCUUCCCUUCUGACCCACAUCAUUUGACUCGCAUGGGCAUCGCACAGAGACGCCACCUGCUGCUCCGCCCCAACUGGCUGAUGAUCGGUGGGCUUUUAGUAGGAGCUGUGGUAAUCCUGUGCUUGUGUGUCAUUAUAUUGGUAAGUGAUAAGGAAGGCUUUAACAAAAACCUUGGGGUUAACAAAACUUGGCUUAUUGAAGUGACCGAACACUGUGUCCUCACAGAUCUUGUUCAGGAAUUACGGCUGGCCUGAGAAACUGCCAGCUCAGGUCAGGUACCGUGAUCUGCAGCUAAGGUACAACAUGGACGACUAUUCAUCAAAGGGCUCCAGGGUGGUGGCUGUGAAAAAAACACAUCGAAACCUGCAGGUGGGGUUGACUGAGGAUUCAGUGCAGAGAGCAGUGGCUCUGGUGUCAAAUGAAUUCUGGGACUAUGAAGAGCAAGUGGAUCUCGAAGCAUUCAGCUCCAGCACCUUCUAUGACAUCCUACUCAAGCACAGCGUGUCUGUCACAAUACGUCUCGGGCAGCUCAGAGGAGAGGUGAGACUCUAUGAGAACAACAGUCUAUUUCCUGCCCCUAUGAGCUUCAAAUAUCACCCUCGUAAAGUUCAAAUAUAUUUACCCAUAUUGAAUAACAUCACUGAGAUGCUCAGUUGUAAUUAACAGUCUCUCUUGUUUCAUGGUCCACUAUGAUACCAUGUAGGAUACAGCAGUGAAUUGUUACUUCCCUGGGGUGAAGUGCGUGGAUCAACUAAAAUGAGUUGUAAAUAUAGCAUUUCUUUUCAGCUUGUUUCAUUGAUGGAAACAUUUGCCCUGUCUAGGUGAAGCAUCUCUAUCAGGGGGUGCUGGGGAAGUUGAGAGAGCUCCACCCUGGCUGGAGGAUGUUUGGAGGGAAAACCGAAGGUCUGGAGAGGCAGGUGGAGCAGGAGAUGGUGCGACGAAGAGCACUGGGCAAUCAGCUGACACAGCUGCUGGACAGCCAGCUGCAGAUCCUGCGGGUGGAGAUGAGAGCACAGCAGGCCAUGCAGAAGACCUUCAGAGCACGACUGAGAGAGAGCGCGAGGCUUCUGAGACUGCUGGCUGAGGGUCAGACCUCGCUCUGGGAUAAACACAUCAAGCAACAUGUUCUGGAGCGGGUAGCUGUGCUGGCUGAUGAGAUGACUGAGAAGGUAUCAGUGGAGAGCCAGAGGCUGGGGGCCUGGGUUGUGCUUAAAGAGGGCACUGGAGCACAGCUAUUAUGCCCUGCUACUGGAUCAGUCCUCAGUAGGGAAGACAUCAUCGCUCCUGAUGGAUCUCUUAGAGCUUGUGAUGCCGUUCAUGUAAACCCCCUCACAGGCCUCAUUCAGCCCAACUCUAACGCCCAUAUGUUACUGGCCAGUGGACACAGCAUGCCAGUUCCCCCGGACUUCUUCCUACACUCCCAGACUGGCAAACUACUGCCUAUGGCUGGAAACGUGGGCUUUGAUCCUGUUUCCUCCACCCUUGUCUUUACAGCCGAUGCUUGUGUGGGGGAGGUGGGAAAAUGGGAACUACCCCUGCUGCCUUUCAUUCCGUACCCUCCGUCCCGCCACGCCGAACUUCAUGCUGCUUCCAAACUACGGGGGCUUCGUUCAGGCCAAAGGCUGAUGCUUGGAGGACCCAUGUGUGACUGUGACACUGGUGUUUUGGUGCCUAUUCAGGCAGUCACCAUCCAUCCACAAACAGGAUUGGUUUAUCCUUUGGGAGGCGUGCACACGUGUCCCAUCUCACGCCUGUGGCAGCCUAUUCAAAUAGGCUCUCCCAUGCUGGACCCACGUACAGGUGACCUAGUGCUCAUCACGGGCAUCACUCUUGAUCCCCAUACAGGGGCUGUACUUCCAGUUGGGGGGCUUCUCCUAGGCGAGUCCUUCAUCGAGCCCUUGAGCGGACGGAUGGUGCGGGUUGGUGGAGGCAGCGUGCGAGGAGGAAAGGUGGUGCCUCAUGCUGGGGGUUUCCAGGCUCUGCUGGACAGCCAGGCUCUGGGCGCUUGCUUGCGAAUGGCAGAGCUCCUGCAAGGAUUCAGCUCAGCAGCUGCAGAUCCACAAGGUGACCUGGACAGACUCUCGGCAGCAACAUCUGAGCUGGAGCAGGCCUGGAAAAGCAGCCAACACUGUAUGUUGCAGCUGCUGAGUCGCCUGGAAGCCGUACAGGGACAGGCCAGGGGUGUGGUGGAGAAUGGCGGUAGUGUGGGGGAAAUUAAGCUUCCUGGCAUUGAGCUCUCCUUGCCAGCUCUCCCCGGGUUGGAGUAUCCUGACCCUGGAGGCUCGGGUCUGCAUGUCCCAGUUCUGGGAGCUCAGUUGGACUGGAUGUCAGGAUCUAUGGUGCCCCUGGCAGGAACCAUGGAGGAUGCAGAUGGUAAAGGGCUAGUUCCCAUACAUUUUGGAGCGCAGACAGUGGACCCAGUGACAGGGGUGCUGGCUCCGGUUGUGGGGGCCAGUCUGGAUGUUUGGAAGUGGACUGUGGUUCCUGUAACUGUGUCCCAGAUUCUGACGUUAGGAGAAAACCCAGACAGUGUCACGGUGGAAGCCCUCCAGAAAGAGAGCAGUGUACAGGGCAAUUACUGGCGUGAGCAGACACUGAAGGAAGAGGAGAUGGUGGGAGAUUUUGACAGAGCCAUUAAACACUAUCUGUCCACAUCCAUACACGAGUCUGACUGUAUAGACUGGAUGGACACAGACAGGCACCUCAGGGAGACCGCCGCUGAGAUUCAGGAAAGUGCUCAGUGUGAGGCCCAGAGAAAAGCUCUCCAGAACUCAGAGUUAUCGCUGCUCCUACAAGCCCAUGUGUUACACACCUUCACAGGAGGAGAUGAAGAGGAGUGGGAGCAGCAGUGUUACUGGCACACUGAGCUUAAGGCCGUGCUGAACCGAGUGAGUGUGUCCAUGGAGAGACUGCAGAGGGACCGGGAUCAGCUGUCGGCACAGGAAACGCAGCAUCUGGAUGGAAAACUGAGGGAGCAGGAUCUGUGGGAGCAUUUAAUGCAGAGACAAGCAGAGCUGGAUGCUGCACUUUCAACUCUUCACUGUGCUCGUCAGGUCUGCCAGCUGCGUGCUGACAUUGCACAGGUAACACAUGCCGGAGGUCAAUUGUGUAGUGAUGUCCUUGGUUUACCUUAGAGCCGUUUGGUGUCUAUGGGACAAUUAGGAAUGCUUUAGCAGACUUUAAUCCACCUUUUCCCCUGAAAGUCUACUGAAUUGAUUCUUUUCCCUUAGUCUUUGGUUUGUGGCACAUUCUGGUAUAAGGAUUUUGGCAUGCUGCAGCCUAAGGGUGUGAGGAACCCUCUGAAAGUAAUAGCCAUGACUCAGCAGAAAAUCCUUCCUCGGCUUGAACGACUUAUUCAGCUGCUGGAGGAAACCAAAGCACUUGGCCAGUCGACCAGCACACAGCGGCAGCAGAGCUCUGGUACAAUAACCUCAUUUAUGCCUUAUUACAGGAAAGUUAAUCAUGCUUUUGUUUGAGU
ensembl:lncRNA